UCUCGAGCAUCGAUCUCGAUGUUGUUUGUUAGCAUUAUGCACAUCGCGUACGAGUUAACGAGUCGGCCUUACGAACGGAUAAGAGUGGGACGAGGGAGAGAUAGAGGAGUAGGGGGAGGGGGUGAGGGUAAGGGGAGCGAAUAGGAAGGAUGGGAUAGAUACAAAAAAGAAAGAUGGCGUGAGCGAGUGGUUACGCGCGUGUCCGCGUAUGUUUGUGUGUUUUGUAUGUGUGUCUAUAUCUCUCUGUUUUGUGUGUAUAAAUGUGUGUGUGUGUGUGUGUGUGUGUGCGCGCGUGUGUGUGCGUGGUACGUGCCCGUACCCGAGUUGAUUCCGUUUGGAGUUUGGAUAUAAAUCGGGUUUGAAAAGUGCAGCCAAACUAGUGUUUUUACAUUCGACAGAAAGAGAUAAGUCAGGUUGUUCGUAUUGGUAUGAGCGAGCGAGCGAGAGAGAGAGAAAGAGAGAGAGAGUGAGAGAGAGAGAAAGUGAAAGAGAGAGAGAGAGAGAGAAUAGAGCUGAUUUAAGAGCUUACCGGGACGGAUCGUUCGUGGACUCUUACCAAACGGAGCUCGUUCGUUCGUACGUACAUACAUAUGUACAUACAUACAUAUAUACGUACAUAGGAUGUAUACUUUCAUUUCUCGAUCUGGAGGAGAACGAGGAGGAGAAAGAAGAAGAUGACGAAGAGGAAGACGAAG